rnacentral:lncRNA from 1 species
AUACCUCAUCCUUAUCCCUAAAAUUAGUAGCACCUAUCCUCUUUAUUUUUAGCCAAUUUUUGGCGUGAGGAAAGAGGAGGCAUAGGGCUAUUUUUCAGAAAAAUAUGGCACCUCAAAUCUUCCUAAAGAGAUUGAAAUAAAAUCCCUAAUUUGUAGGAACUGCAUGGAGCAUCAAGCAGGGUGGCAUGCGGCUGAAGUUUGGGGCGCAUGAACCCAUAAUUUUUAGGGAUUCAUGGUUAAAAAUUUAAAGAGAAUUUGUUCAUCUCUUAGUUGCCGGUUCAGCAGAAUUUUUUGAGAAUUUUAUCAGCCAAAUUCAUCAGCUAAAAUAGGUGUGAAGCGUGGGGGGUCUUUUGGCUAUAAAAAGACUCCCACGCCUAGGGUUUGAAAGAUAUGGUCUUUAGAAAGGGUUCU